rnacentral:tRNA from 1 species
UGGGAAGUCGCCAAGUGGUAAGGCACCAGACUUUGACUCUGGUAUGCGUAGGUUCGAUCCCUACCUUCCCAGCCA